rnacentral:rRNA from 1 species
GACGAACGCUGGCGGCGUGCCUAACACAUGCAAGUCGAGCGGAGACAGUUUGGAGCUUGCUUCGAACUGUUUUAGCGGCGGACGGGUGAGUAACGCGUGAGCAACCUUUCUCUUACUGGGGAAUAACACCGGGAAACUGGUACUAAUACCGCAUGAGACCACAAUGUCGCAUGGCAUAGGGGUCAAAGAUUUAUCGGUAAGAGGUGGGCUCGCGUCUGAUUAGAUAGUUGGUGGGGUAACGGCCUACCAAGUCGACGAUCAGUAGCCGACCUGAGAGGGCGAUCGGCCACAUUGGGACUGAGACACGGCCCAA